GCUAGCUUUGCUGCGGGCUUUCCCUGUUCCCCUGCACCAGUGCGAAAAGCAGAGUGUGCCAAGCGGCUGGCGUCUGUACCCUGUGGGAAAAGUUAACUGUAAUUCUUCGGCUUUUAAAAUCAAUUAACCCGAGUGUUAAUUAACGUCAAGUCGACGGGAGGAGGAGAAGAAGAAGGGGAGGGAGGGAGAAAAGAAAAAAGCUGCAAGGGCGGAUGGCAGAAGAGUUGGCACCGUGCCAUCCAUUCAGGGGCAACGCCACAGUUUCGUGUGAUAGCAGCAGCGGGUAUAUGAUACGGGGCCCUGUAUGCGGGCCAGACAGUGCGGUAAAGCCAAGGGAGAUUAUCCAGACCCCCAGGAGCGAACAGCAAGCAGCAACCGAAGGCGCAAGUGCCAGGAUUACAGCCUAGGCUGCUCCAACUAUGAGCCCUUCCUCGGACCCUGGGACUCGGCUACUUGGGGUUUGGGGGUCUUCCACACCACAGAGGCACAAAGCUGACUUUAAUCACUUUUUUUCCUUUAAACUUGAUUCUGCCGCAGUGGAGCCAGCACAGCGGAUGUUUUCACACCCAGCAAGACAAAGGCCGUCGUCUCCGCCAUGACACUGUUCCGUUCCAAGCAGAGGCCGGGAUUCUGGACUCCUCGAAAAAUCAAAAAGAAACAAGGAAAACAAACAACAAAUACAGCAACAAACAGAAAAAACUGAAAACCACCAAAAUCGUUUGCCCGUUUGCCCGUGCCAGGGGUGAUCUGGGCAUCUGUUGCAGCAGAAGGCGCUUGUGUGGGGCUAAUUUUUCUUUUGGUGGGGGGGACAAGCUGUUGGCUUGUUUGCUAUUUCAACUUCGUUUAUAAUUAACUUAAAAAAAACCCCACCAUUCAGCCUAGUCAACAACAAACAAAGAAAAAGCAGACAUCGGAAGAGAAAUGCCAUAGGAAGCGGCAUGAAUACAUGCCACAGCCGGUGCCACUUGCCACUCGGAAAACCUCAGGGAAAGAUGCCAAUUCUACAGCUGCGAAGAAGGCAGAGAAAGGAGGAUAAAGGUCUACAACUAGAAAUCAUAAGGAAAGAAUACUGCUUGUAUAAUCCUGGAUUGCAAUUGCACACAGCCUCUGCUGGGAGAAGAGAGGGAAUAUUUAAAUGGAGAUAUAGAUGGGUAUAAAUUAAAAGAUAGGCACCUAUCGAUUGCGUAUAAACACAUGUGUAAGGUUGUAUGUGUAUAUAAAUAUGCAUAUUUUCAGACAAACGUUUAGAUAUGUAUAUAUUUUGUGCUACAGGUAUGGGUAUGUAUAUAGGUGUAUAUGUUUAUGCAUAUACACACAUAUGUAGGAUGUAUGCAUGUGUGAGAAAAAGGAGGGAGAGAGAGGAGAGAGAAGGAAAUAUGUGUAUGUGCAUGUAUGUGUAUGCAUACAUCCCACUUUUUGACCCAGGUAUACACAGAAGACAAAAUAAAAAUCAUACUCCAGCAGCAAGCAGGCAGCCAGAGAUUUAUCUACAUUCACUGCUAUCACCAGGGAGAUGAAUGGGGCCGAUCUGAAGCCCUUUUACAAGAUCCACUAUGGGAGUGAAGGAGGAGGAGGGAUGCCACACAGACAUGCACAAACUUGAAGGCAGAGCGAUUUGGAAGGGGCUACUGAGGAAACACUGGUGGCAUAACGCAGGGGAGAAGAAGGGGAAAGAGGCUUGUCUCUCUCUCUCUAUGUUUUAGGUGGUUGUUUUUAAAAAAUCUGCAAAAGGGUUUCAGGGAACGGCUGGUACUUACGUUGUCUGCGUUGCUGUGGAUCCUGAAAGGUGUUCUGUUGGCACCGGGCGCUGAGCCAGGGGCAGGCGCUGGAAACAAAAGGGAGAGACAAAAAAAUAAAGUGAUUCAAUGGGAAUAUUAAUUGCUGCUCUUGUGGAUUUUACAAAACACAUAAACUGUUUUCUUUUUCUUUCUUAAAAAAAAAUGUGGAUUGGCGCGUGUCCCUUUUGCAUGGAAUAUACAAGUAGUAUGGGAUUUACAGCCCAGUUACGGGACUCAGGAUUAGCUGCGCUGGCAUCUUUUGGGCAUAUUCUUCCUUUUAAUGAAUGAGCUUUCGCUGUUAAUGAGGAAUAAUCGUUUGGCUAAUGAGCUUUGAAACAUUAAGAGAAAAGAGGUUUUUUCCGUUAAUCGCUCUGGUGCGACUGCAUGGAUGGAUUACAAAAGACAGCAAUAGGAACGCAGUACAAAGGGGGGGACCUCUCCUGCAGUGGGAGAAGCACCGAGAUGGGUGAUGUGUCCCUGCGUCUUUCCUUCCUUCUCUCUUUCGCUCUCUCUGCCAACUGCUAUGGGUUUCCAUAACUCUGCAAUCAAAGUGGAUGGUCGGGAAGGAUUAUUACACAGAGUGAAGCCUCCGCUGUUAAUGUCUCCAGUGUUUAAUCAUCAUACAGUAGAAUGGUUUUAUGCAUAUUUCAUUUGCAUAUCAUUAAACUGUGUUAGUGAGGGGCAUUCAGAACCAGGAGAAGUACAAAGUUGGGGAGAGAGGGAAGAAAAAAAGGUCCCUAUGAUGCUUAUCUUCAAACGGGGACUUGUUCCAUGAUCUGUCUUCUACUUUUGCUAAAAUCAUUAUGACUUGGAAACCUUUGAAGUUGGAUACAACCUUGGAUUCUUCUAAUUCCUGCAGAGCAGUGUAUUUUACAAAACAGCAGAAAUGUUCCUGCACUAGACAAUUAAAGGAAUAUAAACUCCAGUGGGCUGAAACUAGUAGCUCUUUGGGGAAUGCAGUAGCAGAGGCUUCUACAAAUACCAACACUUAAAAAUAUAUAAUAAACAGCAUCAUAUUAGAAACAAAGAAAACGAAGACAAGAAAUAUUAACACGUGGAUUAUAUUUGUUUCUUUUGGGGGGUAAUGAACUAAAGAGAAUGAAGAAGCCAUCGGUAAUUUAUCCCUUCAUUAAUGAACAGUCACCUUUUUGUAUGUGUUUGUUUUUGUCCUUUCUUUUUGAAGAGGGAUGUUGUUACUUUUGAAGCAAUUAGUCAAUUAUUUUGUAGCUCUGAUCUUUUCCCCCUGCACCCGACAGGACAGAAAGGUGGUGGUUAGGGAAUAUGUGAGUACUUGGGGAGGGGGGGACUUGGUGGGGAGAGAAAGAAUACAGUGAGUUCUUUGUAGAUCUUAUACAUGCACAACAUAUUAAUUGGGGGCUUUUAAAGCUCCCUCAAUGGGCUAUUUCAUUCCUGGUAAAACAGCAGCUGGUUAGCCACUACUGGUGACUCUUCAAAUAUUACUUCAUUUUUAUUCUGUCGCCGUUGUUGUUGUCUUGCUUUGUUUUUCCUCAGUUAAGAAUGAAAAUGUAGUAUCACCCCCUCU
rnacentral:lncRNA from 10 species